rnacentral:rRNA from 1 species
GUGAGGAAUUUUCCGCAAUGGGCGAAAGCCUGACGGAGCAAUGCCGCGUGAAGGAUGAAGGCCUAUGGGUUGUAAACUUCUUUUCUCAGAAAAGAAUUAUGACGGUAUCUGAGGAAUAAGCAUCGGCUAACUCUGUGCCAGCAGCCGCGGUAAGACAGAGGAUGCAAGCGUUAUCCGGAAUGAUUGGGCGUAAAGCGUCUGUAGGUUGUUUAAAAAGUAUUCUGUCAAAGAUUAGGGCUUAACCCUAGAUAGGAAGAAUAAACUUUUAAGCUAGAGUUUGGUAGAGGCAGAGGGAAUUCCCGGUGGAGCGGUGAAAUGCGUAGAUAUCGGGAGGAACACCAAAGGCGAAGGCACUCUGCUGGGCCAAUACUAACACUGAGAGACGAAAGCGAGGGGAGCAAAUGGGAUUAGAUACCUCUGUAGUCC